rnacentral:lncRNA from 1 species
CUUGCACUCUCAUUCACACUAUUCGAGCAAAACCAGAUAGCAUGGCAGAAGCCGGCACGGACACUAGACCAGCCCCAAUGGCAUUUGGCCAUGCCUUAUGAAAUUUAUUUUUAUUGCAUAUAUACGUACUAAAACAUCAGUAGCAUUAUUUGUUGAGUCUAUAUAUGUCACCUCCCACGGAUCAUAACCUCCAAUUAUCGCAUAAUAUAUGGAUUUUACAGUCACAGUACAACCUCUGCUCACUCUUUGCAGAUUCUUAUCGGAGCAUCUGCUUCGCUGGUGUCACAUGGUAUUUUGUCGCAAGAGGCCGGUCUUACAGUUACUGCUAGAGUCUCCACCACCGUCGUAUCAUGUGC